AUAGAAUCCAACAGCUAUCAAAAAUCACGGCCAGCUGAGCUGAGUUCAUGCCUGUGCAGGAAUGGAUUGGCUGCAGCCAGCCAAUGUGCCCAGGCAGUGCUCUGGUCAUGAAAAGAGCUGAUAAUUCAUCAAAUCUAUGUCUGCCGUGAUGCCCAGGACUGGACUUCUGCCUUGCAUCCAGCUCAGAUCCUCUAACUCUGCAAAUGUUCCCAGGCUUUGGAAGAAUGACUGCUGGAGUGAGUUACAGCCCAUGCUUGUUGUUUCACCCUGGAGCAAAUAAAAACUGCUUUAUAUAACCAACAGCUGAACUAAGUCCUGAGUCCUGCAAGACCUUCUCCAUGUGCAUUUAAACUCAGUUGACCUACUCACAUCAAAGAGGAUGGAACAGAACAGGUAAUACAGAAUUGGCUUCACAAUUUAUAGAAAUGUCAUAAGUAUUCUGCUUGGGUUUACUCC
rnacentral:lncRNA from 1 species